rnacentral:rRNA from 1 species
UACGUAGGAUGCAAGCGUUGUCCGGAAUUAUUGGGCGUAAAGAGCGCGCAGGCGGUAUGACAAGUCAGAUGUGAAAGAGGCCGGCUUAACCGGCAAGGGUCAUUUGAAACUGUCAGACUAGAGUGCAGCAGAGGAUAGUGGAAUUCCCGGUGUAGUGGUGAAAUGCGUAGAUAUCGGGAGGAACACCGGUGGCGAAGGCGGUUCUCUGGGCCUGUACUGACGCUGAGGAGCGAAAGCGUGGGGAGCGAACAGG